AUGGAGACCAGCUGAGCAACUCUGACUGUAUUUGUACAUAUGUGCUGAACUUUCGUACGUUUUUUUAAACUGCUUUGAUUCACAAGAGCAGAAGGCUUUGACUGUGGUGGCUGAGAGAGCCACAGGGGUGAUCGUUGGAGCGGCAAUGACAGACGCAGCAGAUCCCUUCCAGGGAGUGCAGCACGGGGUCCUGAAGCUGAGCCAGCUGGAGGAGACGGUUAAAGGAACCAUUUCUGCGGAGGGUGUACAGCCAGUAGGGCCUCAUUCAUAGGGGCCUGUUUUGUGGCGUAGACAGGUCUUCAGGGAAUCCCAGAGUUUUGGAAGAAUGGAACCCUCAGAUAUCUUGUGCUGGUGGAAAUGGUUAAGAAAGUUGUGGGCUCACAGCAAGCCUAGAUUUGUCACAUGGCUUUAAAGACAGUUAAUACAUUAGCUACUAAGUUAACAUAACCAGUCCAAAAUAUUGUUAGGGAAUAUGAACGAUGUGUUGGUGAUGUUUGUUUUUUAACGACUGGUUUGUAAGGCCAUUUCACGUCACAGUUGUACUUUGACAAAGACGUUGAUGAAAGUUACAUUCAGACGGAUGUAACUUGAACCUCGUUGCUCUGUCAAAGCUAUACAGCGCGACACAAAAGAGUUGAGUCUAUAUGUGUGAAAUACGGAAUUCUUGUCAUGUUCUAUUUUAAAAGAGGAAGGAUCUAAUUUGUGAAGUAACUGAGCAUGUAAACUGAAUUUACACAGCAUCGAAACUAAAGGAGGAAGCUUGAAUAUAGCAGUUGGGUGUUGCUUACAGUACACUGUUUGCAUGCAGUAAAAAGGAAAUGAUUAACUUAUCAUGUGAUGCAGUUGUUUGUUACACACAACUUCACCUUUUUUCUACAGCUCAAAUACUGUAUCCGUGGUUUUGGGUGGGGUUUGAGUUUAAAUAAACUCUGCCCUGGUUAAAGAAACUGAGAGAGUGCAAUAAUUUGAUGAACAGAAACGUAUUUUGCAAAAGAGGAAGUGAAUUUCUCUCUCUCGCGCUCUCUCGAUCUCUCGCACGGGUUCUGUUGAAGUGAAAUAACAGACACAAUGAUUUUACCGUGCUGAAACAACUGAACAGACUGCAACUUAUCCCUCCCUCAAAGGAGUUAGUCUGUCUUCCAUAUUACCUUGUUCUCAAUGUCUCCUCUGAUGAUUUUGAAUAUACUCUAUAUAAAAUCAAGCCAAUAUCUUUGACAUGGACAGUGGUUAUGAAAACAGGGAUCUGAUUGGUUGGUUUGCAUGGCUCAGGCUCUAAGAUGUGAUGAAAGUUGACUACUAG
rnacentral:lncRNA from 1 species